GUUUACUAGUUUAGCGGCAAAUGGGUGAGUAACACGUACCUAAUCUACCUUAAAGAUCGGAACAACAAUGGGAAACCGUUGCUAAUACCGGAUAUACCUUUGAAAAGCAUUUUUUAAAGGCGAAAGGAGCAACUGCUUCACUUUGAGAUGAGGGUGCGUUACAUUAGUUAGUUGGCAGGGUAAUGGCCUACCAAGACGAUGAUGUAUAGCCGAGUUGAGAGACUGAUCGGCCACACUGGGACUGAGAUACGGCCCAGACUCCUACGGGAGGCAGCAGUAGGGAAUAUUCCACAAUGGGCGCAAGCCUGAUGGAGCGACACAGCGUGCAGGAUGAAGGUCUUCGGAUCGUAAACUGCUGUUAUACAGAAAGAAAAGAUAUAGGAGUGGAAAGCCUAUAUUAUGACGGUACUGUAUCAGAAAGUGACGGCAAACUAUGUGCCAGCAGCCGCGGUAAUACAUAGGUCACAAGCGUUAUCCGAAAUUAUUGGGCGUAAAGCGUCCGUAGGUUGUUUGUUAAGUCUGGAGUUAAAGACCGGUGCUCAACGCCGGCACGCUUUAGAUACUGGCAAACUAGAGUUAUAAAGAGGUAAGUGGAAUUUCAUGUGAAGCGGUGGAAUGCGUAGAUAUAUGAAAGAACACCAAUGGCGAAGGCAGCUUACUGGUUAUAUACUGACACUGAGGGACGAAAGCGUGGGGAGCAAACAGGAUUAGAUACCCUGGUAGUCCACGCCGUAAACGAUGAUCAUUAGUUGGUGGGGGAACCCUCGCUAACGCAGCUAACGCAUUAAAUGAUCCGCCUGAGUAGUAUGCUCGCAAGAGUGAAACUUAAAGGAAUUGACGGGGACCCGCACAAGCGGUGGAGCAUGUGGUUUAAUUUGACGAUACGCGUAGAACCUUACCCACUCUUGACAUCCCUUGCAAAGCUAUAGAGAUAUAGUG
rnacentral:rRNA from 1 species